rnacentral:lncRNA from 1 species
GAAGAAGAGUUUUCUGUCAAAGAAUAACACAGUAAAUAAGCAAUCUUUUCCAUCACUAAUGAAUUAGUAAAUAACGUCACUAAAUAACUUAAGUGAAACAAAUAGUUAAAAAAUACAUCAUUAACAACAACUACAUGAAGUGUGAUUGAAGUGCUACUCGAAAAGGCUAUAGAACACGGUAGAAAUCAGCUAUUGAAGUGUCGUCUGAACAAGAAAUGCAGUGAAUUUAUUGUUUGCCUCAAAGCUUGAUUUCAAUUUUCGCUAAUUGUUGCAAUAAUCAACAUUAUCAGUAGCUCAAUGCUUCAUAUUUUGCUGGCAUCGGACAGUUAAAUCCUGUCUGGGAAACCAAACCCUAAACCACCGUAAGGUCCCUGUAGAAAACUCCUUGAAACACCAAUGGUGGUGGCGUUGUAAUGGCUGCAUUUUUCUUGAUCCGAUGAGUACCACAGCCAGUCAGCCAUUAGAUGUAUCUGAAAUGGCCAUCGGAAUUGACUCGACUCUGGUAGAGUAUUGUUCUUAAGCCUGUUGAACUUGCAUCGCAUCCUUUCUUUGCUUUUUAGUCACCUUGUCAUCCAAAAUCGUCCCCAUUACACUAGUAUAACCCUUUGAAUCAAUCUACACAAUAAACAAAAGCAAAGCAGACAUUUUUGCUCUAUCGCUACUUGAAUCUAUAUUCCCAUCAUCUGCAAGUUCACACCUAUCAAUGAAACUGGAAUAUUUCUCGGGCUUGUGUCUAGGUGUCAAUAACAAAUGGGCAUUUUUGGGCAAUGCUUGCGAGGACUGGUGUUUGACGGCAACACCUUUUCGCGAAUGUGCGGCGCAACGACCAGAGAUGGAGGGUUUCAAUCUUUGGCCUUCUGAUUUUUGGAUUUUCAAUUGUGAGAGAGAGAAGUUCUUGAUUUAUAGAUUUCUUCCACUUUUUUUUACUACCGGAGAUGAAGGUUUGAGUUUUGGGGGUUUCAAAUGGGAGGGGAAGGCGACGGGGUUAGAGGUGCCCA